ACUCAAAGGAAUUGACGGGGACUUGCACAAGCAGUGGAUUAUGCGGUUCAAUUCGAUGACAAACGAAAAACCUUACCAAGGUUAGAAAUCCAGACGACAGUUGUAGAAAUACAAUCUCCCGCAAGGGCGGCUGGACAGGUGAUGCAUGGCCGUCGUCAGUUCGUGAUUUGAAUUGUUCCCUUAAGUGGGGUAACGAACGCAACCCUCGUUGCCAGUUACAAGUGUCUGGCGAGACUGCUCCGGUUUGUGUGCGCGAGUCAUUUUGACUCGUUCGUACAGACCGGAGAGGAAGGCGAGGAUGACGCCAGGUCAGCAUGUCCCUCUGAUACCUUGGGCCACACGCAUAAUACAAUCGCACAUACAACGGGUCGCGACGGGGUAACCCUGAGCCAAUCCUUAUAAAGUGUGCGCCAGUUCGGAUAGGGGGCUGCAACUCGACCCCUUGAAGCCGGAAUUGCUAGUAAUCGCGGGUCAGCUAUACCGCGGUGAAUACGUUCUCAAGUCUUGUACACACCGCCCGU
rnacentral:rRNA from 1 species